UACGUAGGGUGCAAGCGUUGUCCGGAAUUAUUGGGCGUAAAGAGCGUGUAGGCGGCCCGAUUAGUCCGCUGUGAAAGUCCAGGGCUCAACCCUGGAAUGCCGGUGGAUACUGUCGGGCUAGAGUCCGGAAGAGGCGAGUGGAAUUCCUGGUGUAGCGGUGGAAUGCGCAGAUAUCAGGAGGAACACCGAUGGCGAAGGCAGCUCGCUGGGACGGUACUGACGCUGAGGCGCGAAAGCGUGGGGAGCGAACAGG
rnacentral:rRNA from 1 species